rnacentral:rRNA from 3 species
GGACUACAGGGGUAUCUAAUCCCGUUUGCUCCCCUGGCUUUCGCGCCUCAGCGUCAGAAAGGGUCCAGCACGUCGCUUUCGCCACCGGCGUUCCUUCCGAUAUCUACGCAUUUCACCGCUCCACCGGAAGUUCCACAUGCCCCUACCCCCCUCGAGACGGCCAGUAUCUCCAGCUAUUCUCCGGUUGAGCCGAAGGAUUUCACCACAGACUUGACCGCCCGCCUACGCGCCCUUUAAGCCCAGUGAUUCCGAACAACGUUCGCACGGUUCGUCUUACCGCGGCUGCUGGCAC